ACUCAAAGGAAUUGACGGGGGCCCGCACAAGCAGUGGAGUAUGUGGUUUAAUUCGACGCAACGCGAAGAACCUUACCAAGGCUUGACAUCCUACUGACGAAGUAGAGAUACAUUAGGUGCCCUUUUAGGGAAAGUAGAGACAGGUGGUGCAUGGUUGUCGUCAGCUCGUGUCGUGAGAUGUUGGGUUAAGUCCCGCAACGAGCGCAACCCUUACGGUCAGUUGCUACGCAAGAGAACUCUGGCCGGACUGCCGUUGACAAAACGGAGGAAGGUGGGGAUGAGGUCAAAUCAUCAUGCCCUUUAUGUCUUGGGCUACACACGUACUACAAUGGCGGAGCACAGCGGGAAGCGAGGGAGCGAUCCGGAGCGAAUCCCGAAAAGCCGCCUCAGUUCAGAUUGCAGGCUGCAACUCGCCUGCAUGAAGUCGGAAUUGCUAGUAAUCGCGGAUCAGCAUGCCGCGGUGAAUACGUUCCCGGGCCUUGUACACACCGCCCGU
rnacentral:rRNA from 1 species